GACAGAGGGGGCAAGCGUUGCUCGGAAUCACUGGGCGUAAAGGGCGCGUAGGCGGGAUGGCAAGUCGGUCGUGAAAUCCUCCGGCUCAACCGAAGAACGUCGGCCGAUACUGCCGUUCUUGAGGGAUGCAGAGGAGAUUGGAAUUCCCGGUGUAGCGGUGAAAUGUGUAGAGAUCGGGAGGAACACCGGUGGCGAAGGCGGGUCUCUGGGCAUCUCCUGACGCUGAGGCGCGAAAGCGUGGGGAGCAAACGGG
rnacentral:rRNA from 1 species